rnacentral:sRNA from 1 species
CCCCCACCCCCAGAAACGCCCAUGCCUCCACCUCUGCCCCCAACUCCAGACCAAGUCAUUGUCCGCAAGGAUUAUGAUCCCAAAGGUAGGGCCUGCUUCCCAACCCUCGGGCUGCCCAGGAAGGUCCUGUGUGCCCUCAUGUGUUCCUCACACCCAUCUUUCUAGGAGGGCUUGAGGUGCAGCUUAUUGUGAAAGCAUUGCAAACCCGUCUGUUACAGGUUUCAUGUUGGGAACAGGGCCCAGUCAUCUCUGGUGCCCUAGUGCCUUUCACAGUGCCAGGUACAAGAGUGGCACUGAAUAGAUGCCUUGAUGAAUGAUGCAUGCAUGAAAUACCACCCUCUUAACUCAGGUGGCUGACCACCAGUGUUCUUACUGAAACAUCUGUUUCCUUUUAGCCUCCAAGCCCUUGCCUCCAGCCCCUGCUCCAGAUGAGUAUCUUGUGUCCCCCAUUACUGGGGAGAAGAUCCCCGCCAGCAAAAUGCAGGAACACAUGCGCAUUGGACUUCUUGACCCUCGCUGGCUGGAGCAGCGGGAUCGCUCCAUCCGUGAGAAGCAGAGUGAUGAUGAGGUGUAUGCACCAGGUCUGGAUAUUGAGAGCAGCUUGAAGCAGUUGGCUGAGCGGCGUACUGACAUCUUCGGUGUAGAGGAAACAGCCAUUGGUAAGAAGAUCGGUGAGGAGGAGAUCCAGAAGCCAGAGGAAAAGGUACGGCUAAAGUGGAACCUAGUGCCUUGUCUGCCUCCCGUCUUCCACACUUGGGCUUAGUUCCAGGAGGAUUGUGGCUUUGCUUUCACUUGCAGGUGACCUGGGAUGGCCACUCAGGCAGCAUGGCCCGGACCCAGCAGGCUGCCCAGGCCAACAUCACCCUCCAGGA